rnacentral:tRNA from 1 species
GCCCGGAUGGCGGAAUCGGUAGACGCGCUGGUCUCAAACACCAGUGGGGCAACCCGUGCCGGUUCGACCCCGGCUCCGGGUA